rnacentral:rRNA from 1 species
UACGUAGGGUGCGAGCGUUAAUCGGAUUUACUGGGCGUAAAGCGUGCGCAGGCGGCCCGUUAAGACAGGUGUGAAAUCCCUGGGCUCAACCUAGGAAUUGCGCUUGAGACUGGCGGGCUCGAGUACGGUAGAGGGAGGUGGAAUUCCUGGUGUAGCAGUGAAAUGCGUAGAGAUCAGGAGGAACACCGAUGGCGAAGGCAGCCCCCUGGGCCUGUACUGACGCUCAUGCACGAAAGCGUGGGGAGCAAACAGG